rnacentral:rRNA from 1 species
GGACUACUAGGGUUUCUAAUCCUGUUUGCUCCCCACGCUUUCGCGCCUCAGCGUCAGUUACAGACCAGAGAGUCGCCUUCGCCACUGGUGUUCCUCCACAUAUCUACGCAUUUCACCGCUACACGUGGAAUUCCACUCUCCUCUUCUGCACUCAAGUCUCCCAGUUUCCAAUGACCCUCCACGGUUGAGCCGUGGGCUUUCACAUCAGACUUAAGAAACCGCCUGCGCGCGCUUUACGCCCAAUAAUUCCGGACAACGCUUGCCACCUACGUAUUACCGCGGCUGCUGGCAC